rnacentral:rRNA from 1 species
AAUAGAUACCCGGGUAGUCCACGCCGUAAACGAUGAGUGCUAAGUGUUAGAGGGUUUCCGCCCCUUAGUGCUGCAGCUAACGCAUUAAGCACUCCGCCUGGGGAGUACGGUCGCAAGACUGAAACUCAAAGGAAUUGACGGGGGCCCGCACAAGCGGUGGAGCAUGUGGUUUAAUUCGAAGCAACGCGAAGAACCUUACCAGGUCUUGACAUCCUCUGACAACUCUAGAGAUAGAGCGUUCCCCCUCGGGGGACAGAGUGACAGGUGGUGCAUGGUUGUCGUCAGCUCGUGUCGUGAGAUGUUGGGUUAAGUCCCGCAACGAGCGCAACCCUUGAUCUUAGUUGCCAGCAUUUAGUUGGGCACUCUAAGGUGACUGCCGGUGACAAACCGGAGGAAGGUGGGGAUGACGUCAAAUCAUCAUGCCCCUUAUGACCUGGGCUACACACGUGCUACAAUGGAUGGUACAAAGGGCUGCAAGACCGCGAGGUCAAGCCAAUCCCAUAAAAACCCAUUCUCAGUUCGGAUUGUAGG